CUCAGUAACGGCGAGUGAAGCGGCAAGAGCUCAAAUUUGAAAUCUGGCCCCCCCGGGGUCCGAGUUGUAAUUUGGAGAGGAUGCUUCGGGCGCCGUUCCCGUCUAAGUGCCCCUGGAACGGGCUGUCGCAGAGGGUGAGAACCCCGUCUGGGACGGGCGACGGCGCCCGUGUGAAGCUCCUUCGACGAGUCGAGUUGUUUGGGAAUGCAGCUCUAAGCGGGUGGUAAAUUUCAUCUAAAGCUAAAUACUGGCCGGAGACCGAUAGCGCACAAGUAGAGUGAUCGAAAGAUGAAAAGCACUUUGAAAAGAGAGUCAAACAGCACGUGAAAUUGUUGAAAGGGAAGCGUUGGCCCCCAGACGCGCCCGGGAGGGCUCAGCCGGCACGUGUGCCGGUGUACUCUCUCCCGGGCGGGCCAGCAUCGGUUUGGGCGGUCGCUGAAAGGCCCCGGGAAUGUAGCACCCUCCGGGGUGCCUUAUAGCCCGGGGCGGCAUGCGGCCCGCCGGGACCGAGGCCCGCGCUUCGGCGAGGAUGCUGGCGUAAUGGGGGUUAACGGCCCGUGUUG
rnacentral:rRNA from 1 species